UACGUAGGGUGCAAGCGUUAAUCGGAAUUACUGGGCGUAAAGCGUGCGCAGGCGGUUCUAUAAGACAGAUGUGAAAUCCCCGGGCUCAACCUGGGAACUGCAUUUGUGACUGUAGAGCUGGAGUGCGGGAGAGGAGAGUGGAAUUCCUGGUGUAGCGGUGAAAUGCGCAGAUAUCAGGAAGAACACCCGUGGCGAAGGCGGCUCUCUGGAACGCAACUGACGCUGAGACGCGAAAGCGUGGGGAGCAAACAGG
rnacentral:rRNA from 1 species